rnacentral:rRNA from 1 species
UCCUACGGGUGGCUGCAGUCGAGGAUCUUCGGCAAUGGGCGCAAGCCUGACCGAGCGACGCCGCGUGCGGGAUGAAGGCCUUCGGGUUGUAAACCGCUGUCAGUGGGGAGGAAAUGCAGGUGGGUUCUCCCAUCUGUUUGACCUAUCCGCAGAGGAAGGAUGGGCUAAGUUCGUGCCAGCAGCCGCGGUAAGACGAACCAUCCAAACGUUAUUCGGAAUUACUGGGCUUAAAGGGUGCGUAGGCUGCGCAGAAAGUUGGGUGUGAAAUCCCUCGGCUUAACCGAGGAACUGCGCCCAAAACUACUGUGCUUGAGGGAGACAGAGGUGAGCGGAACUUAGGGUGGAGCGGUGAAAUGCGUUGAUAUCCUAAGGAACACCCGUGGCGAAAGCGGCUCACUGGGUCUCUUCUGACGCUGAUGCACGAAAGCUAGGGGAGCGAACGGGAUUAGAUACCCUUGUAGUC